UCUCCCGUAUUAUAUCUUUUGUAUUAUAUUAUAGAAUAUUCGAUGAUCGAUGGAAAGAUCAAUGCUAUAAAUGUAAUCUAUCAGUAAGGAGAUCGAAAAUUAUAUUAACAAAUUGUAUUAAGACAAAAACGAUUAAAAGAUGUAAAACGCAAAUAGAAAUUCGGCUAGACGUUGAAAUUCUAAAGGACUAUAAAGGGUUGAAGGUUACGCUAUCAAUAAACAUUUUCUAUAACGUUUUAUAAAUGAAAAACUUGUUCGGGAUUUGGAGUGGCCGUCCGUUUAUGACUCGGUCGGCAAAUGAAAUGAAAGAAAUGCACAUAUUAAUGAAUUAAGAAACUAUUUUAAGUGUGGCAUAUAACGUCAGUUUUGUACCAGCAGGAACUUGUAUCAGGCA
rnacentral:misc_RNA from 1 species